rnacentral:rRNA from 1 species
UACGGGGGGUGCAAGCGUUAUCCGGAUUUACUGGGUUUAAAGGGUGCGUAGGCGGCUUAAUAAGUCAGUGGUGAAAGCUCGCAGCUCAACUGUGAAACUGCCAUUGAAACUGCUAAGCUUGAAUCUGGUUGAAGUGGGCGGAAUACAACAUGUAGCGGUGAAAUGCUUAGAUAUGUUGUAGAACACCGAUUGCGAAGGCAGCUCACUAAGCCAACAUUGACGCUGAGGCACGAAAGCGUGGGUAGCAAACAGG